GUUUUUUUUGGUUUGCCAGCUAGCCGAAAAUCAAGUAUUAGGAAUUUGUCCAAAUAAAAAAGGCCACACAUAUGCAAUCCAAAACACAUAGGCCAUAUCAAUAGAUAUCAAAGGCUCUUAAGAUUUCAGGUGGAAGGAUUUACAUUUUUAUGGCAAAUAGAGCACUUGGAGAGGAGGCUCCUUUCGAGGUGGCACGUGAAUUGCUCAUCGCUUUAUCUAACUUGUUACCGGAUAUAGUUCUCGUGGACAAUUCUUGCAGCUCAAACGGAACUAUAGUGACUUCAAGGGACGGAACUGAGGAUUUCAGGUCGGAGUUAAUGUCCAUUUCUCAUACUCAAUCUUCAGAGGUUGCUGUUCUGUGUAAUGGUUAUAUGUGAAGUUUGCAGCUAGCAUAUAGCUAUAGUUGCUCGCUAGUAAGUCAUCGCUCUUUGUAUCAUAACGCUCGCCUUAUGAGUGAACCUUGCGCGCUCUCCUAUGGAUGGAGCGCCUUCCAGUUCUAUGUAUUUGUGGUUGUUUGUUAAGUUCUUGUGGUUGAAAUCCUUGUUCUGGUGUAUGGUUAAAUCUGCCUUUAAGCGUGAGAUACAUCAUGUAUACUGCUUACAAGGGUGUUUUAUUAAUAAAAGUGAUUUUGUGUACUUUGUUA